AAGAACGGGAUGAGGAUGAAGCAUCGGAGUUUGAGAUCAAAAGCAUCAUUGAGUGCAGCGUUGAUGAAACUUUGCGUCCUGUGGGGCGAUCCAUCGCACCAAAGGUUUGAGGAAUUCAUCAGCGCUGCACUCAAUUAUGUCUUUGAUAUCCCAAUCAGAAAGAGACAUGAAUAGGUAUCUCUUGAGAUGCAACGAUUAACCUUUUUUCAUGAAAUCUCUUCCUUGGAUUGGAGCUGGUUUACGUUUUUGGAUCGAUUGGCGAGUGUACCGAACAUCACCAUGAGAGAUAAUCAAAUGCUUUAAAAGAAUGAUGGAAAUGCAUCUCAUUUCUACAAAUGAUACCUUGAUGUUGAGCUUUCUGGUGUUAAUGAUGAAACAAUAGAUCCUUGUACAGGUCUUUACCAUCAAAAGUUCACAUGGCUACAUGGAAGCUGGACCAUUGAAAGGCUGAUGCUAAAUUCUUGUAAUGCCGGCUCUUUACAUAAUUGGGACAAACAAUAACUUCUUAUGACCUGUACCAUUUCAUUAUUCAGUUAGUGGAGGUUCUGAGGAUAUGAAUACAAGAGCUUGGGCAUAUAUCCAGUUGUUUUCGGUUAAGUAUCAAAGUACAUUAUGAAUUAUUGUUUGACAUAGACAACUAGAAGCAAAAUGUGGUUGCUUAUUACAGCGAGAAGACGACUGCUUUUGGAUUAGUUAGUACAAAGGUCAGGGCAUCCAAGGCUUUUGAUGUCUAAGGUGAAUGCUAUUAUUGCAUUACUGUAAGUGUUUAUGACUGAGAACUCAUUCUUAGAUAUUGGAUGUUUUCCUAA